GACAGAGGGUGCAAACGUUGCUCGGAAUUACUGGGCGUAAAGCGCGUGUAGGCGGGUCGGUAUGUCGGACGUGAAAUCCCUAGGCUCAACCUAGGAGCUGCGCUCGAAACUGCCGAUCUUGAGUGGUGGAGAGGGAAGUGGAAUUCCUGGUGUAGAGGUGAAAUUCGUAGAUAUCAGGAGGAACACCAGUGGCGAAGGCGGCUUCCUGGACACCAACUGACGCUGAGACGCGAAAGCGUGGGGAGCAAACAGG
rnacentral:rRNA from 1 species